AUGACAGUAUGCUCCUAUACUCACUGCUGCAGGUAUUACUGUGUCACCAGGGCCCAGACCCCAGCACCCACAGACGGCCUCUUGGGAGCUCCAUGUCCUGUCAAUCACUUUUGUCCUCUUGGAUCCAGGAGUCCAACACCAUGUCCUGCUGGCUCCUACAUGCCACAGACCCAUGGAGAGAAGUGCCAUGCUUGCCCAGAGGGUGAAUACUGUGUUCCUGGGGAGAAGCCAGAGCCAUGUCCCCGGGGGCACUUCUGUCCCAAGGGCACAGCUCUUCCAGUGGCUUGUCCAGCAGGGUCAUAUAACCCCUCACAAAGGCAAUCCAGCUGCCUCCCCUGUCCUGAAGGGUUCUUCUGCCCCAAAAAUUCCUCUUCAUUUUUGGAGAAUGAGUGUUCAGCUGGCCACUACUGCCCUACCGGUACUGCUGCUGCCACUCAGUUUCCAUGUCCCCAGGGAACUUACAACCCACAAAAUGGAAGCAGCCUCCUGUCUCACUGUACCCCCUGUGACCCAGGGCACUACUGUGCACUGCCGGGGCAGUCACACGUCACAGGAGCCUGCUGGGCUGGGUUCUACUGCAGUGGAGGCGCUUCUAGUCCAACACCUGUGGAUGGUCUCCUGGGGAACACAUGUCCCAAGGGAGCUUACUGCCCUGCGGGCACUGCCUUUCCACAGCCAUGUCCUCCUGGUUACUACAGCAACUCAACUGGGAAUACUGGGAUCGAGGACUGUCUCCUGUGCGAUGCAGGUACAAUA
rnacentral:lncRNA from 1 species